GACGAACGCUGGCGGCGUGCUUAACACAUGCAAGUCGAACGGAAAGGCCUCUUUCGGGGGGUACUCGAGUGGCGAACGGGUGAGUAACACGUGAGUAACCUGCCCUUGACUUUGGGAUAACUUCAGGAAACUGGGGCUAAUACCGGAUAGGAGCUCCUGCUGCAUGGUGGGGGUUGGAAAGUUUUGGCGGUUGGGGAUGGGCUCGCGGCUUAUCAGCUUGUUGGUGGGGUUGUGGCUUACCAAGGCUUUGACGGGUAGCCGGCCUGAGAGGGUGAGCGGCCACAUUGGGACUGAGAUACGGCCCAGACUCCUACGGGAGGCAGCAGUGGGGAAUAUUGCACAAUGGGUGGAAGCCUGAUGCAGCAACGCCGUGUGCGGGAUGACGGCCUUCGGGUUGUAAACCGCUUUCGCUCAUGACGAAGCUUUGUGUGACGGUAGUGAGUAAAGAAGCACCGGCUAACUACGUG
rnacentral:rRNA from 1 species